UAUCUUGAAAGAAGCUACCUCUGACACCAGCAGCUCCCAGCUUGCAGCUCUACUGCAUCUUCAGCAUCAGUUACAUCAAACAAAGGCUGAUGGAACAAACACUCUUCUCAGAACAGUUGAGCAAAGGCUUACUGUGAUUUCUAAGUCCUAUGCAAACCUCAGCAUUAAUCCACAACAUCUCAACCACCUAAAUAAACUUCCACCUAAAUUUAAGAUCAUCAUUCUUCAGCAUUCUGAAGACAGGUCUGUUCUGUAUGGAGCAUUUCUGGACAGACUGAAAACCACAGGGAAGGGUAUUCAACAAGCAGGUAAGAGUUUUUGUUGUUCUUGAUCUUCAGUGUGUUUUACUG